rnacentral:ncRNA from 1 species
GCGUGGGUCGGCCCCCGUCGAAACUGCGGCUUCGGACAAUUCGGCGGAGGCCAGGGGACACCGUCGCCUCAUUCCCCGCGGGCGGCGGAUCCGGUCCGGGGGGCGUGCCGACGCCCCCCGGACCGAU